AGGUGAGCUGCAACUUUGAACCUCACUUGAGAGGAAAUGUUUACGUUCAGUACGACACAGAGGAGAAAUGUAGAGAAGCUUUCAUGAUGUUUAAUGGCCGCUGGUAUGCUGGAAGACAACUGCAAUGUGAAUUCUCCCCAGUAACUAGAUGGAAGACAGCCAUAUGUGGACUUUUUGACAGGCGGAAAUGUCCAAAAGGAAAACACUGCAACUUCCUCCAUGUGUUCAGAAACCCAGAUAAUGAAUUCUGGGAGGCGGACCGUGAUCUUCAUAU